CACAGCCUUGAGGAAUGCAGGCUUGAGAAAGCAAGGGGUGGUUGAGACACAUUUGGACAGUAUACAUGACUGAACCCAGGUAAGGCUGUAUAAAUCGUAAGAUUCUGUCUGGUGGGUGCAGAGAUCUACUUGUCCUGUGGCCGCCCACAGCUAGCCUCAUGUCAAGAAGAGACAAACUGGGAAAACAGAAGAUGCAGUGUUUGCCAAUCAAAAGAGAGCCCUAGGAUGAAGACAAACACUUGGAUGAUGUCCAAUGGGAUCCACAUAGCUGUUAAAAAAAAGAAGAUUUUAACUGAGAACGUGUGUUCUGUCAGCAGCUAA
rnacentral:lncRNA from 1 species